rnacentral:rRNA from 1 species
UAACCUUACUAUCAUCUGUUUCUCAUUUUACACAUGCAAGUCUCAGCACCCCAGUGAGAACGCCCUUUUAACCUACACCAGGAGAAGGAGCUGGCAUCAGGCACAAUCCCUGCCCAUAACACCUAGUCUCACCACACCCCCAAGGGUAAUCAGCAGUGAUAAAUCUUAAAUAUAAGCGACAGCUUGAUUUAGUUAGAGAAAAGAGGGCCGGCUAACCCGGUGCCAGCCGCCGCGGCUACACCGUGGGGCCCGAGCUGAUAGUCACCGGCGUUAAGCGUGAUUAAAGCCCUCAACAAUUAGGGUUAAAUUAAUAUUUAGUAGUGAUAAGCUUGUUAUUAAGAAAACCAUAAACGAAAGUUACCCUAAUUACACUUGAAUCCACGACAACUGGGAAAACAAACUGGGAUUAGAUA